GCCUCUAUAUUUUCCUGAAUUGUAAUAAAUCUAAUUUCCAGAAGAAAUAGAUCAAAAUUUCUAAAGAAAAUCAAAACUAGGGCAAUGAAUACAUAGUUUCUAAUACCAGGGACAGUCAUCUUCCAACUAUUCAAUUUCAAACAAUGUUUGACAGAUCUUUUAUACAUAAUACAACAGAAUUGAAGAAAAAUGUGAUAUAAUGCCCAUUUCAAAAAAAAAAAAAAACCAGUGUAACAUUGUAAUUGAAUAAGAGAAAUUGUUGUAGAAGCUCAAAUAUGCCCCCCUAAUUUAAACGGCCAAAAGCAAGGGUAAACUCUAGGGAAGGGAACAAAAAUAACUCUGGAAGCAGUUGCAUCAUUUCAGUAUAUGUCAGCAAAAAGUUUGAACGGUAAUGUUAGGAAUUUGAGAUAAAGAUGUGCCAUUUUUAAUUCCCUAUCCAGAUUAUUAACCUAGAAAUGUUUAGGAAUUUCCUGGCUGUGCAGUGUGGUGUAUACACAUAAUCACAGCUAGUGUGCAGGAAAAAUACAAAAAUGUUAUCAUUUUCGUCUAUGUAUAAGAAACCCUCACCUGGAAAGUAUAUAUGUUAAGAACAGGGCAAGUAUUUGAAAUAUUUUAUUAAGCCAAUGACAAUAUGUGAAAUUUGUUUUCUUUGUAAGAUAUAGUUCAUAUUUUAUCUUCUUUUCAGAAAUAGUGAUGUGAUAAAAAUUAUGAAUUAUUGUUUUCCAGGUGUUACAGUCUAUUAUUUUUCCAACAGAUGAGUAAUAUUUCUCAAAAUAAUAACCUAAAUGCUUUUUACUUUGAAGUUUUUCACCCUAGAUUAUUUGGUGUAUUGAAAAGAGUAAAAUGCACCAAUAAUAAUGUGUUCUAGUUACAAAUGAUGUACAAGUUAGCCUCAGAACUUAAUAGCAUAAAACAAAAUCCAUUUUAUUAUAUGUUCCCGCAUCUGUGGAAGGGAAAUUUGCACAAGAAAGACUGGGUGACUUUUCUGCUCCUUGCAUUGUUUGCUGAGGAUACUUACUGGUGUUUCAGUAGUGCAUGGCUGGGUUUGGAGGGCCCAGAAUAACUGUGGACAUUGUAGGGUGGAUGAAAGCCUGUGCCCACUUGGGACUGGCAAUCAGAAUAUCUACACGUGUUCACUCCACCAUGGCAGUUCCACAAUACUUGGAUUUUUCAAAUGCCGGCUGGAUUUCCCCAGAACAGUUUUCCAAAGCAAAAGGCAGACCUUCCUGACAUUUUCUAACCUUGUCCUUGAAACUAUUCAGCAUCAACUUCCACCAUCUUUUCCUGAAUGUAUAUCAUAAAGCCGGCCUAGGUUUCAAAUGGUAAAGGGUUACUCUCCACCUCUUUAAGGGGAAUAGUAUCUUCAUAUGGUGAAAGAAUUUAUUGAAUUUCAGGUAAUGUAGUCAGUUUCAGAGAGAAUAAUCAGGAAAAGACAAUUUGGAAAUUUGUUUAUUGCUCAUGUUCACAUUACUAAUAAAUGACAAGUUUGGAAUUUUAACUAGAGCCGUGUGACUCAAUGAGAAUUUAAUAAUGGCCCUUAGGAAUAAAGACAGGAACAGAGAGAAAUAGAGACACAGACAUCAAAAACUCUGUUUUGAAAGAUUUAGUUGAAAACUAGAUUUUAAAAACAGCAAGUGGUUUGCCAUUGAUCAUGUAAAAAUAUUUAUCCUGUCACUAAGAAUUUGUAGGUAUCAUUUGAAUUAAAAUUCAUUAAAGUGGGAGAUUUAUUCUUUUCUUUUACCUCAUCCUUCUCUACAGUAUACUGCCUAAUACAAAGCAGAUGGUCAAGAAAGAUUUCUUGAAUGAAUGAAUGUUGUGUGAAAAUACCAGCACAAAGAAGAUAAUUUGUAUUUGGAAAAUAAAGGAACAGUUGUCCCUCUGCCAUCCCACACUGCCUUGGAGUCAUCCUGCCAUGGACUGAAACCUCUACAAACUUUAAGCUAAGCAAAC
ensembl:lncRNA